AGAUAAACACGGUAUCUGUGGCAUUCAUGGCAUUUCCUAGAGAACUACACAAGUGCUGUUAAAUAACUGGUCCUCACAACACCUGAUGAGGUUCCCUUAUGUAACUCCACAAAGGAAAAAAUUGGGAAGCAAGGGUGAACACCACUGGUACAGAUUCUGUUCGGAUCAGAUAAUGACUACAAUAAUCAGCUCCUAUGAGGACUGGGGAAGUAAGGUGCAACGCAGAGAUAGGUAUUAGUGAAGGAAGCUGGAUCAUCACAGAGCAUUCCCUUGCCUCCCUCCUGGCUGCCUCCAUCAUACUUGAAAAAGCUGCUCCUGCAGAAGGCUGAUACCUUCAGCCUAUUUCAUCCCAUGUAACACAACAAACAAACAAACCUCAGCUUCUCAGACUGAAAUGGUAAACUGCUGAGCCAGGGUAGGCCUGGGGAUGACAGUGCCUUUUUCUUCUUGCUACUGUUGAGUCCUAUGGAGAUCUGUUCUGCCAUUGGGACCCUCACAGAAUAUUAAAAUGAGACAUACUGUGCUAACUUGCUCCAUCCUUCUUGGGAGAGAUUAAAAAUAAACAACCCACCAAAACCUAAUCCAAACAAAAAAAAAUGGAAGAAAAUAUGUACAGGGAGAAAAACCCGGCCAGGAAGAUGCUCCUUGUGAAUAUAUAUUUGUCGAUCUGAAAGGGAGUUUUAUUGAAUGUUUCCAAAACUGUUCCUUCUCACGUUGGAGAGCCAUUAUUAAGAGCACAGGCGGGCCCCUUUACCACGUUCUGCAGGUACGGGUUCAGCGUCAAUUGGUACAUGCUGGUGCUGAGCAUGGACACAGUGAAAAAGCUGUUCUUUUUUAUUAUAUUAAGUUUAUGCUAACCUCUUACAGAAACGGUUUAGUGAUGGACAUACCAGAAUUGCCACGGCUUGUUUGGG